GGGGUUGUAGCUAAGUAGUAGAGCACUUGUCUAGUAUUCAGGGGGCUCUGGGUUCCAUCCCCAGCACCACCA
rnacentral:tRNA from 1 species